rnacentral:rRNA from 1 species
CUUUGUGAUACAUUUUCGAAGAGUCGAGUUGUUUGGGAAUGCAGCUCAAAUUGGGUGGUAAAUUCCAUCUAAAGCUAAAUAUUGGCGAGAGACCGAUAGCGAACAAGUACCGUGAGGGAAAGAUGAAAAGCACUUUGGAAAGAGAGUUAACAGUACGUGAAAUUGUUGGAAGGGAAACGCUUGAAGUCAGACUUGCUUGCCGAGCAAUCGGUUUGCAGGCCAG